UGAGGAAUAUUGCGCAAUGGGCGAAAGCCUGACGCAGCGACACCGCGUGAAGGAUGAAGGUCUUAGGAUUGUAAACUUCUGUUAAGUGAGAAGAAAGAGCCGCCUCUAAUAUAGGCGGAAGAUGACGUUAUCACUAGAGAAAGCACCGGCUAAUCUCGUGCCAGCAGCCGCGGUAAUACGAGAGGUGCAAGCGUUAUUCGGAAUUACUGGGCGUAAAGGGUGCGUAGACGGUUUUUUAAGUCUUUUGUUUAAAACCUCGGCCUAACUGAGGAACAGCAAGAGAUACUGAUAAACUAGAGGAUGGAAGAGAGAAGUGGAAUUAUCGGAGUAGCGGUUAAAUGCGUAGAUCUCGAUAGGAACACCGAUGGCGAAAGCAGCUUCUUGGUCCAUAUCUGACGUUGAGGCACGAAAGCGUGGGGAGCAAACAGG
rnacentral:rRNA from 1 species